rnacentral:lncRNA from 10 species
GGAAAUCAUUUUCCAAACCAUAACUGUUCUAUUCAGAGCUUUGAAGACAGAUAUCAGGUCUUCAGAACCAAUGAAGAAGAAACCAUUACUUAUCAAAGAAGACGGAGUCUCGCUCUGUCACCAGGUUGGAGUGCACCGGCGCGACCUCGGCUCACUACAACCUCCGCCUCCCAGGUUCAAGCGAUUCUCCUGCCUCAGCCUCCCGAGUAGCUGGGACUACAGGCGUGCACCACCACGCCCAGCUAAUUUUUGUAUUUUUAGUAGAGACAGGGUUUCACCAUGUUGGCCAGGGUGGUCUUGAUCUCUUGACCUUGUGAUCCACCCGCCUCGGCCUCCCAAAGUGCUGGGAUUACAGGCGUGAGCCACCGCAUGUGGCCCACCAUUAAAAUUCUUAACCUAAAGAGGAUAAUUCCCAUGAAAAAUGGAUGCUAUGGGUCAAUUAAAUAAAAUCAAACAACACAUUU